GCGCGUUCUCAGGGCGGGGUGAAAUUCCCCACCGGCGGUGACAGCCCGCGAGCGCUUUUCGAUGAAUGUCGAAAAGGACAAGCAGACACCGGUGGAAUUCCGGGGCCGACGGUCAAAGUCCGGAUGGAAGAGAACCAGC
rnacentral:ncRNA from 2 species